ensembl:lncRNA
CUGGAUGCGGAGGCCCACUGGGCGGUCCUGGGUUCUGGAGAUUAAGGCCCUGGUCUCGCAGACAGCAGACAAGCAGAACAAGGACGUCAGGCAGGAAUUAGGAGUCAGCAGGGCUGAGAGCCCGGGCAGGGACCGGUGGCCCCUGACUCCUGUGUUUGGCCCCGGCGGGUCUCAGUGCUGCGUGUGGGAUCUUUAGCCGCCACAUGCGGGCCCUGGUGCCCUGACCAGGGAUGGAACCCGGGCCCCUGCUUUGCUGGCACAGCGUCUUAGCCCCUGGACCACCUCGGAAGUCCUGACAUCUACUUAGACUUCUUUCUGCAAUGAGACAUCAAGAACCUGAGAGUCAGGAUGCCCAGACACAGAUGCUGAACCCCCACCAGGUGGAAGAAGUUCCGUAUCUGCUGCCCGCAAGCAUGUAGAGCCUAGACUUAACUGAAACCGGAAGGCUGGUGACGCUGACCCCCACUCGCCGUGCCGCCAGCCCAUCAGCACAAUGAGCCCGGGCUGACCACACAGGCCUCGAGCCGCGACGGCUCCCUCCAGGUCUGGACACACGGUUUUGAGGGCAUUCGCCCUCUGGGGCCCCUCAGCCUUGGCAAAGCAAGUAAAGAUACUCUUUUCUACUUCACCCCCUUCACACACACAAAAAAAGACAAUGUGAUGAAAAUAUGAGAGAAAAAAGUAGGAAAAUCAGGGAAUCAGUCCUGGAGAGUUAAACUUCUGAAAACCAGGGGUUCUUGGAAGGCAGAAGAGAGGAAACAGGAGGAAGGAAACCCUCUUGGAAAGAGCUCAGAAAACCCCCAAAUGGAGCUGAAGCAGCCUUCAGUUUCCGAGUGCAAAGGGCAAACUCUGAGAGAGUUUGCAAACAGAAGUCAUCACAUAGCUAACCUUCAGGACGCCAGGUUGCAGAGGCCUCGCCAGCGCCCCUGACAUACAGAGAGGGGGCCACAGCCAAAUGACCAGCAACCAAAAGGGGUCCAGACCGUCCGGGGGCGGGGGUGGAUACAUCUCCUUAUAAGUUUCUUUAAAAAAUAAAAAAAGCAAAACCAUUUUUAAAGAUUUUUAAAAUGUGA